AGUGAACGCUGGCGGUAGGCCUAACACAUGCAAGUCGAACGGCAGCACAGUAAGAGCUUGCUCUUACGGGUGGCGAGUGGCGGACGGGUGAGGAAUACAUCGGAAUCUACUUUUUCGUGGGGGAUAACGUAGGGAAACUUACGCUAAUACCGCAUACGACCUACGGGUGAAAACAGGGGAUCUUCGGACCUUGCGCGAUUGAAUGAGCCGAUGUCGGAUUAGCUAGUUGGCGGGGUAAAGGCCCACCAAGGCGACGAUCCGUAGCUGGUCUGAGAGGAUGAUCAGCCACACUGGAACUGAGACACGGUCCAGACUCCUACGGGAGGCAGCAGUGGGGAAUAUUGGACAAAGGGCGCAAGCCUGAUCCAGCCAUACCGCGUGGGUGAAGAAGGCCUUCGGGUUGUAAAGCCCUUUUGUUGGGAAAGAAAAGCAGCAGGUUAAUACCCCGCUGUUCUGACGGUACCCAAAGAAUAAGCACCGGCUAACUUCGUG
rnacentral:rRNA from 1 species